GAUGAACGCUGGCGGCGUGCUUAACACAUGCAAGUCGAACGAAAAGGCCCUGCUUUUGUUGGGUGCUCGAGUGGCGAACGGGUGAGUAUCACGUGAGUAACCUGCCCUUGACUUUCGGGUAACUUCAGGGAAAUCGGUCUCAUACCGCAUAGAAGCUCCUGCUCCAUGGUGUUCGUUGGAGAAUGUCGGCGGUGGGGGAUCGACUCGCGGCUUACCCGCUUGUUGGUGUGGUAGUUGCUUACGAAGCCUUUGAAGGGUAGCCGGCCUGAGAGGGUGACCGGCCACAUGGGGACUGAGAGAGGGCGCAGACGGGUACGGGAGGCAGCAGUGGGGAAUAUGGCACAGCGAGCGGGAGUCUGAGGUAGCAACGCCCGGUGCGGGAAGACCUGCUAUUGGGGGUAAACCGCUGUCGCAUGUGAUGAAGCGUGCGUGACGGUAAUUGGUCAAGAAGCACCGGCUAACUACGUG
rnacentral:rRNA from 1 species